GGGGGGGGGGGCUUAGAGGAAGAACACCUAGCUUUGAUUGGAAAUUUUGUUCUGUAAACUGACUUUAACAGGUCAAAUCAUGUUCUGCUUUCAAAGAGUCAGUCAAAACUAAACUUAUUAAUACAACUUUUAAGUCUAGUAUUGUCGUAUUGAUUUAAAAAUGUAUGGGAAAGCCAGAUAAAAGACAGAGGAAAUAAGGUCCCCUAAAGUCACAAUAAUGAGGACUAUAAAAAAGUUUAUUUGGUAUAUUCAAUAUUAAAUGUAUUUUGUUUUAAACAGGUCAAAUCAUGUUCUGACUUAAAAGAGUCAGUCCAAAACUAAAAUAAAUUUAUUGAAAUAUAUAAGCUGGGCAUUGCCAUAUGUUAUUUAAUGAAUGUAUGGGAACGUCAGAUAAAAGACACAGGAAAUAUAUGUAAGAUCCCCUAAAAUAAAUAACCAUUUGACUUAAUUGUUUCUAAAAACUUAUCAAAUAAUAAACUCGAAAAUGGCAGAUCAGAAGCAGGGCUUAAAGGAAGUACACCUAGCUUUGAUUGGAAAUUUUGUUCUGUAAACUGACUUUAACAGGUCAAAUCAUGUUCUGACUUCAAAGAGUCAAACAAAACUAAACUUAUUACAACUUUUAAGUAUAGUAUUGUCAUAUUGAUUUAAAAAUGUAUGGGUGAGCCAGAUAAAAGACAGAGAGAAUAAAGACCCCAUAAGUCACAAUAAUGAGGACAAUAAAAAAGUUUAUUUGGUAUAUUCAAUAUUAAAUGUAUUUUGUUUUAAACAGGUCAAAUCAUGUUCUGACUUAAAAGAGUCAGUCCAAAACUAAAAUAAAUUUAUUGAAAUAUUUAAGCCGGGCAUUGCAGGGCUUAAAGGAAGUACACCUAGCUUUGAUUGGAAAUUUUGUUCUGCAAAUUGACUUAAACAGGUCAAGUCAUGUUCUGACUUUAAAAAAUCAGUCAAAAACUAAAUUUAUUGAAAUUAUUAAGUCAGGCAUUGCCAUUUGAUAGUAAUGAUAAUGUAUGGAAAAAUCAAUUAAUAAACUCAACAGUGGCAGAUUCAGAAGGGGGCUAAGAGGAAGAACACAUAGCUUUGAUUGGAAAUUUUGUUCUGCAAAUUGACUCAAACAGGUCAAAUCAUGUUCUGACUUAAAAGAGUCCGUCAAAAACUAAAUGGAUAUGCAUAAAAUCUGGUUCAUAAGUUUUGAAAAGAUGGAGAGAUUAAUGAGUCUAUAUUUUGUUAUUCCGACUCACAAAUGUCACUAUGUGACAAAUUUCGGGAAUUUUUCUCUCCUUUUGACUGAUUCCUAUAUGUUGUAUGGGUGCCAUAACUAUCACUACAACAUGUACAAAGUCAGCACAUUCUAAGGGACGCCAUCAAAAGACCAAUGUAGGAUAAAAAAACUUAAAUCAAAUAGUUUGGGGGUGGGGGUGGGGUUAAAGUUGCUGCAAGUUUUGUUUAUCCAAAAUCGAUUUUACAUAAAUCCAUAUUGGUCAAUCAAUCUUUCCCAAAUUAAGUUAAGAGGGGGGGGGGGGGGGGGGGGGGGG